rnacentral:pre_miRNA from 1 species
AGAGGGAUAGCUGGGUCAAAUGGUGGUUCCAUUCCCAGAUUUCCAAGGAAUCUCCAUACUGCUUUCCAAAUUGGUUGCACCAAUUUGCAGUCCCACCAGCAAU